UACGUAGGGCGCGAGCGUUGUCCGGAAUUAUUGGGCGUAAAGAGCUUGUAGGCGGUUUGUCGCGUCUGCUGUGAAAAUCCGGGGCUCAACCCCGGACUUGCAGUGGGUACGGGCAGACUAGAGUGUGGUAGGGGAGACUGGAAUUCCUGGUGUAGCGGUGAAAUGCGCAGAUAUCAGGAGGAACACCGAUGGCGAAGGCAGGUCUCUGGGCCACUACUGACGCUGAGACGCGAAAGCAUGGGGAGCGAACAGG
rnacentral:rRNA from 1 species